AUGAGCAAUUAAAAAGAGAGGGUUUUGAGCAACGUGGAAUAUGCUCCAGCCAGACCUAGUCUGUAAGUGUCUCAUUUAAUUGCUGUUACAUUACUGAAAUUACUGCCUUGAAGCUCCAGCCAAGAUCAAGCCCAGCUUCUGGCAAACAGGCCCUCUGCCUUACAGACAUCACCAGCAAACCUUAUGGAAGCUCCACAACCCAAAUGGAUCCUGCUACAGCUUUCAGAAGAUGCUCCUUCUGAGCUGGGUUAAUGGCUGGCAACAGGAAAGUUAUCAGCACCUGAACACAAGAGGGGAUCUUCAGCCAUGGCAACGUAAAAGAAAAAUCCAACUUUCCUCUGAGUGAACACCAGUGCAAAUAGCUCGUUCAGCUUUUUGCCAUGUCAUUUUUCAUGCAUGUGUAUUUUGCACAUCCACUGGCUAUGCAGCUUCCCUGGCAGAGUCUCUCCUCUGGAGAAAAGAACUUUUUUUUUUUCCCCCUCCAUGGUUUUAUGCCUUCAGCAAGUUGUUCUUCAAAAUCUCCUUAGGCAAGGAAGAUGACAGGGUGUGGGAGAAGUGACAUUCUGUCACCACUAUUAGAAGGUACUUCUUUGCUGGAGUGAUGGCCUGCACCUUGUUACAGAUAUAGAGAACACCAAAUGUUCACAUCACACCUGUACUUAAGAAGGGGAUGUCAGAACACUGGGACCAGUGAGAUUUGAGCCAGUUGACUGCUGGACAGGCACCUCAAAGAAAAGCCUGUUGUUGCAGCGAACCCAGACAACGUCCUGACAGUGACUUUCAGUAAUGGAGGGUUUUUUUCACACCUGUGUUAGGUGGAAACACAGUAGUGCUUAUUUAUUUUUGAAUUGUAGAGCCUUGACUCCUUGAUUCUCCUGAUUUCCAGGCAUACAGGCAGGGCAGAAGACUUAAUGUAGUGCCACUGAUGAGGGAUUUAUAUUAGCACCUGUGGCCACAGCAUUUACUCCAGCCAUCGUGGUGGGAAAUGAUCCUCCAUCACUCCCAGCAUCUUAGCUAAGUGGUGUAAAACUACAGUCAGCAUGUUCUGUGCCAGCUCCUUCCAGCUGUAACUCGAGCUGCUUUUGGCACUGACCUUGCCCAUUACUUGCAAACCAGGUCAGCAUUCUUUGUGGGCCUUUCCCAUCACUCUCCCACAGAUUGCUGUGCCUGUGCUUCUGCCUCCGAAGGUCUGUCACGUUAGCAAUAGCUGUGCUUUUGGAGCCUAAGAAUGGAAGUUCUGCAAGUGGUGAAAUUGAGGAAUAUAUCUUUUUUUUUUAUGGCCACUUUGCAGCUACACUUCAAAGGCAGGUCUCCCCAGGCUUCCACCAUCAGAGACUCUGUGCACCCAUGGAGACUAAUAGAUGCUGAAUGUUGCUAUAGAAAUUGCUAUAUUAACAACUGUCCCACGGAUUGCAUCCUCUGUUGGAUCCCAAUUCUCCUCAAAUUGGAAGCAGUGGCAGAACUCCAGCAUUAUUUAUUUGCAGGGAAGGGUAAGAUUCACAGGAAACUCUGGACAAGCUUGUAAGUAGCUUGUCUGAGAUAAAUGAAAUAUGUCAUUUGUCCCUAAUGAUCUCUCCCUGCCAGCACAGAAAGACAGCAACAUAAAGCACUUUGCAACACAUCCCUCAAAGUGAAGAUAUUCAUUGCAACAGUUUUCUGUGUUUAAACGAUAAUUUGGGCAUGAAGGUUGGUGCAAGUGUAUCCUGCUUUGGACUGGGUUUUAUAUGUGCAUCAUCCUGAAGUAUUUAACAGCAUCUAGAAACUCUGUUAUUGCAACUCCAGUGAGUCAGUAUUUGUGUCUUUGACAAAUCAAAUCCAAAUUCCUGAUAAAAGCAUUUUCCACACCCUUUCAGAUAAUUUUAAGAUUUCUGCACCAUUCCCUAAAGACACACACACGUCACUGGUAUUGUAUAGUCCUCCCUAAAGUGGUCCAUGAACUUCCAGUUGCUAUCAUUUGUUAAUACCAUUUAGAAAACAGAUGAGGCAUUAAAAGAAAUUCAGGACAAUGAGGCAGUGUUUGUCAAACCUUACAGCACCAUCAGCCACACAGCAGAGGCACUUAAGUCACAGUAUUUGUAAGGUUCCCCUGUGUCCAACAGAGCCAAUUCCAGCCAAGGCAGACUGGCCACUGGCCAAGGCCGAGCCCAUCAGUGGUGGUGGCAGCGUCUCUGAGACAAUGUAUUUAAGAAGGAGGGGAAAAACUCUGUGCAGCAGCAGCUGCAGCCAGAGAAGAAUGGAGAGAGAAUAUGUGAGAGACAGCUCUGCAGACACCAAGGUCAGUGCAGAAGGAGAACAAGGUGCCCUUCCUGACUCUGCAUUGACAAUGUGACCAGGAAGGUGGCUGGACAUCACCUCCUACAUUUUCCUUUGCUUUCACUUUAUUAAACUGCCUUUACCUGGACCCAUGAGGGUUUUUCCAUUUUAUUUUCUCCCCCUACACCCUGCUGAGGAAGGCAGUGACAGAGGGGCUUGGUGGUCACCUGGAACCCACCCAAGGUCAACCCACCACAGUGUUUCACCAUGUGGCAUAUUGUUGCUGGUCCUCUCUCCAAGCAGGCAAGCAAAGCUCAGCAGUUGGAUGAAGUCCAAAUCUUUCCAGUUUUAAAUAAACUUCUCUGUUUUCGCCCUGUUAUUCAAUCAAAUGUUCCCAAAACAAUGGUUUUGUAAGCUAUAAACAAGUUAGGCAUCUAAAUAAUUGACUUUGAAUGGAAAAACAGAGAAUAUGUUAAAGGCUUGUGUCUUAAGUCAAACCAGCAAUAAUUCUAAGUUUUACUGCUCAAGGAAACUCCCAGCUCCUAAAUAAGAUCAAGGUCCACUUAUGCCCAAUGAUCUGCAGGGUCUCUGCCCUUUACACUUCACAGUUCUGUAAAGGGCAGAAGAAAAAUUUGAGGAUAAACCAACUAAAAUCUUAUGCAUUGGCUGCUCUUGUAGACCAAAAGUUUUACCUAAUUGAUUAGCAAGUUUUUCUUUUGUUAUUUUCCCAUCCUCCUCCACUAGAGAGAGGAUGUUGCUGGGGUGAGUCCAGAGCUGAAGAAUAUCCCUGCCUGUCCUUUUAGCCCCACAGAGGAGCCAGGUGCUUUCACAGGACUUGGACCAGUGUCAAAGAAGCCACAGGGCUAUUUAGACAUUUCCUGAGUAAUAAUCCAUUAGUCUGGAGUUUGUAGAAAGAAGCCUCUCCCAAGAACCUCAUCUCUCCAUCCCAUCAGACUGCCUGUCAUCAAAACCUGGGAGCCUGGCAGUGCCAAGCCACAGCCAUGUGUUCAAUUCAAGGCAGGAACAAUGACAGUAGAGAUAAGAUGACAUCAGAAUUUCAUGAGCUAUGAAGGGGGUGUGUGGUGCAGCAUUGCUUAAGCACGGCCUGUGAUUGCAUUGGCAAUGGAAUCGGAAUCUUUCCUGUUUGCAAAUAAAAGAGAAUUUACCCCAGUGGAACAAUCUACAUAAAUUCUUCUGUGCAAUUCUUAUGUACAACAGAAGAACCACAUUAAGGACCUAAAAUUGGCCUUCCCCAACUUGAGGUGCUGUGCUGGCAGUUGGCACUGAGACGAGCAUCACUGCAGGGCAGAUUUCACUACGGUAUGCAUUUGCCUAUCUUGCAUCUAAAGAUCUGGGCAAAGCAUCCUGCACACAAAUACAUAGCUCAAGAAUGAGGAGAGAGAGAGAGAGAGAGAAGAGCACUAGUUCCUCUUAAUGCAUGUAGCAGUCAUUUGGGAAAUCCCCCCAAGGACUCUGCUCUGAAAAUCAUUGGGCAAAUGUGUCUGAGAAUGUGCAUUUCAAGAGUGCCGGUAGAAGUGAAACUGCAUCCAUCAAAAGGAACUGGUUUCCUGUUUCUAUUCUUCUUGCCUUUCAUUUUUCAGAUGUGUAAGCUAGAUAAUGAAAAGCCAUUCCAGACCAUUUUAGGUAUUGCUGGGAUGAGGUAAGGUUGUUAUCUGUUUGAAGGAGAAUCAUUUUUCAUUGUCUGCUGCCAUAAACGGGUGGAGACUUUUUUUUU